AAUGUUGAAACACCAGUCCCCAUAUGAUUACCAAAAUUAAGCAGUGCUGAGCCGGGUCAGUACCUAGAUGGGUGACUUCUUGUAAAUACAAAGUGCUGUAAG